UGGGGGAUAUUGCACAAUGGGGGGAAACCCGUGAUGCAGCGACGCCGCGUGGGCGAAGAAGUAUUUCGGUAUGUAAAGCCCUAUCAGCAGGGAAGAAGAAAUGACGGUACCUGAGUAAGAAGCACCGGCUAAAUACGUGCC
rnacentral:rRNA from 1 species